GACCUGGGCAACCCCAGCCUGGAGGUGCCGGGGCCGGAGCUCCCAGAGGGCUGGGUGCGAGGCCUAGGCGGGGUCAGGUUCGGGUUCCUAGGCCAUAGCGGAGCUGCAGCCCAGGCGGCCGGAGCGGAACCCAGCCCCGCUCCGAGUGCCACGUCUCCAGGAACCCCCUCCUUACUCUUGGACAACACUCCGCCCCCGCCCGGGCCUCCGUCCCCCAAACCGCCCUCAUUUGUGCAGCGCCAGAUCCUUCGGACACAUCCCUAGGUGUCUCCAUCCUCAUCCGAUCCAUCCAACUCCCAGACACCACGUCUCCAACCGGCUGCACCCCACUCUCCAGCCUGCGCCCCAGAUGCAGCCUUCGCCCCUAGAUACACCCGCCUGGUGAUGAGGCGCUCUUCCCGUUCCUUCCGGGCUCCCGGUGUCGUCCGUGAGCCUCCCUUCCGCCCUGGCCUCCGGUCUCUGCCUUGCUCGUGCUUCUACCACCACCCUUCCCCUCCCAACCCGGUGGAUCCUCUCGUCUCCCCCAGUCUCCAGUGCACCGGUUUUCCCUCGUCCUCUGCGCAGUCCAUCUCAGCUCAUCUCUCCAAUUCAAUGCCAUCAUCUCUCCUCACCAUCUCUCGGUGCCCUGGAAUGUUUGCUGUCAGAUGUCCCCUGUGAAACCCACAAACCCUUGCGAUUUGGUCUUCUUGUUUUAUUUUGUGUAGUCCUACAACGUCUUGUUACUACUCCCUAUUACAACACUUGUAACUCAG
rnacentral:antisense_RNA from 1 species